rnacentral:rRNA from 1 species
UACAGAGGGGGCAAGCGUUGUUCGGAAUUACUGGGCGUAAAGGGCGCGUAGGCGGCCCGCUAAGUCGAACGUGAAAUCCCCGGGCUCAACCCGGGAACUGCGUCCGAUACUGGCAGGCUUGAAUCCGGGAGAGGGAUGCGGAAUUCCAGGUGUAGCGGUGAAAUGCGUAGAUAUCUGGAGGAACACCGGUGGCGAAGGCGGCAUCCUGGACCGGCAUUGACGCUGACGGCGCGAAAGCCAGGGGAGCAAACGGG